GCCCACGUAGCUCAGCAGGUAGAGCAACUGCAUGGUAAGCAGUAGGUCGGCAGUUCGAGUCUGCCCGUGGGCUCCA
rnacentral:tRNA from 1 species